CCUACGGGAGGCAGCAGUGAGGAAUAUUGGACAAUGGACGAGAGCCUGAAGCAGCCAAGCAGCGUGAAGGAUGAAGGCCCUAGGGGUGGUAAACUUCGUUUAUAGGGGAAAAAAAUGGUCCACGUGUGGGAUGUUGUAUGUACCAUACGAAGAAGGAUCGGCCAACUCCGUGCCAGACGCCGCGGUGAUACGGAGGAUCCGAGCGUUAUUCGGGUUUAGUGGGUUUAAAGGGAGCGUAGGUGGAUUGUUAAGUCAGUUGUGAAUGUUUGGGGCUCAACCGUAUAAUUGCAGUUGAAACUGGCAGUCGUGAGUACAGUAGAGGUGGGCGGAAUUCGUGGUGUAGCGGUGAAAUGCUUAGAUAUCAGGAAGAACUCCGGUUGCGAAGGCAGCUCACUGGACUGCAACUGACACUGAGGCUCGAAAGUGUGGGUAUCAAACAGGAUUAGAUACCCCAGUAGUC
rnacentral:rRNA from 1 species